rnacentral:rRNA from 1 species
AUUGAACGCUGGCGGCAGGCCUAACACAUGCAAGUCGAGCGGAUGAGAAGAGCUUGCUCUUCGAUUCAGCGGCGGACGGGUGAGUAAUGCCUAGGAAUCUGCCUAGUAGUGGGGGACAACGUUUCGAAAGGAACGCUAAUACCGCAUACGUCCUACGGGAGAAAGUGGGGGAUCUUCGGACCUCACGCUAUUAGAUGAGCCUAGGUCGGAUUAGCUAGUUGGUAGGGUAAAGGCCUACCAAGGCGACGAUCCGUAACUGGUCUGAGAGGAUGAUCAGUCACACUGGAACUGAGACACGGUCCAGACUCCUACGGGAGGCAGCAGUGGGGAAUAUUGGACAAUGGGCGAAAGCCUGAUCCAGCCAUGCCGCGUGUGUGAAGAAGGCCUUCGGGUCGUAAAGCACUUUAAGUUGGGAGGAAGGGCUCAUAGCGAAUACCUGUGAGUUUUGACGUUACCAACAGAAUAAGCACCGGCUAACUUCGUGCCAGCCGCCGCGGUAA